GACGAACGCUGGCGGCGUGCUUAACACAUGCAAGUCGAACGGAAAGGCCCUGCUUGCAGGGUACUCGAGUGGCGAACGGGUGAGUAACACGUGGGUGAUCUGCCCUGCACUUCGGGAUAAGCCUGGGAAACUGGGUCUAAUACCGGAUAGGAGCCAUUUUUAGUGUGAUGGUUGGAAAGUUUUUUCGGUGUAGGAUGAGCUCGCGGCCUAUCAGCUUGUUGGUGGGGUAAUGGCCUACCAAGGCGGCGACGGGUAGCCGGCCUGAGAGGGUGGACGGCCACAUUGGGACUGAGAUACGGCCCAGACUCCUACGGGAGGCAGCAGUGGGGAAUAUUGCACAAGGGGCGCAAGCCUGAUGCAGCGACGCCGCGUGGGGGAUGACGGCCUUCGGGUUGUAAACUCCGUUCGCUAGGGACGAAGCUUUUUGUGACGGUACCUAGAUAAGAAGCACCGGCUAACUACGUG
rnacentral:rRNA from 1 species